rnacentral:rRNA from 1 species
CCUACGGGGGGCAGCAGUGGGGAAUCUUCCGCAAUGGGCGCAAGCCUGACGGAGCAACGCCGCGUGAGUGAAGAAGGUCUUCGGAUCGUAAAGCUCUGUUGACGGGGACGAACGUGCGAGAGGUGAAUAAUCUCUUGCAAUGACGGUACCUGUCGAGGAAGCCACGGCUAACUACGUGCCAGCAGCCGCGGUAAUACGUAGGUGGCGAGCGUUGUCCGGAAUCAUUGGGCGUAAAGGGAGCGCAGGCGGGCAAGUAAGUCUUUCUUAAAAGUUCGGGGCUCAACCCCGUGAUGGGAAAGAAACUACAUGGCUUGAGUACAGGAGAGGAAAGCGGAAUUCCCAGUGUAGCGGUGAAAUGCGUAGAUAUUGGGAGGAACACCAGUGGCGAAGGCGGCUUUCUGGACUGCAACUGACGCUGAGGCUCGAAAGCCAGGGGAGCGAACGGGAUUAGAUACCCCUGUAGUC